UCUUGGGAUGAAUAAGCUACAAUUUUGGCAUAUGGGCUCUGAAAAUGGAGCAGGGGAUAGGGUUUUGUUUCUUAAUAUCCCUUUAUUUUUAAGAUUGAAAUCUUCCUAAGGGAAUCCCAGUUUACAAAGAUUACAUUGAAACCAAGGUAAUUUGGGAUCAUAAAAACUGGGCCAGUUGCCUUCUUGAAGGUUUUAACAUAGAAAUAUUUUGGUGAGGAGAUGGGCUCCUUUGGAAAUUUUUGAACAGUUCAAGUCUGAUGGUCACUUGUGAGAAUCAGAAAGAGGCCUUAGCAUUUGGAUAAACUCAAAAUAUGCAUUUACUUUUCCUCUGCAGGGAUUUGAACCUUUUCUAUACCUUUAGUUAAAUAUUUUGCCUUUUCCCUUAGAUGCUGACAAAGCUCAGUUUGUGAAGAUGGUUAGUUUAAAAAUAUGUUUUGCUUUUAAAGGCAACAUAUUUAAAAUUAAUAUGAUUCCUUAUUCUGGAUCACUUUGCACACACUGCCAUCUUGCUCCUAUCCUUCUUUAUUGCUGGAUGUUUCAGGAAAUGCAACUUUGACCAGUAGAUACUCAUAAUUCUCUUACCUUGUAACUUCAUCAUAGGAUAUUCUUCUGCGUAUUGGUAGUUGAAAGCAUUUAAAUAUGUUUACAAAGGCAGCUUUCUUAUAGAAAGGUCCCUUCCCUCCUGCUUUGAGUAUAUAGAUUUUGAAUGUAAACUGUAUAAUAAAUGACAGUAUGAAGUCAAAUCAGCUGUUUAAAAUUGGUUAAGAUAAAAUAACUCAAUGCGGAAGCUUAUUUACCACAGAUUUAUUGUUGUAACAAUCUGUGCAGAUAAUCAGUACUAAAUAAACUAUGUCUUUGUGGCUCAAAA
rnacentral:lncRNA from 1 species